AGAGGACUAAUCUGAUCUCGCCAUUAUAUUGAGAGACCUGACAAGUAAAUUCAUUCAAAUCCCAGUGAAAAAAAGAUCCAUUAUUUUUUCCUUCAAAACAAUCAGGUAAGUAAAUCCCUUGUCUUUUUCAACUUAAAUUACAAUUCCCCAUGUUUUACUUUCUCUGCAAAUCAAUUCUCCAUGGGAGGAAGCUUGUUACAACCCCCCAAAGCCACAAACUUUUAUCAUCAUCACAAUCUCUAAUCCCCAAAUACAUAUCCUGUUCAUCAAACCAUCAAUCAUUCACAGUUUCAUUCCUUAAAAACAAAUGUGGGUUAUCCUCAGAAUCAGCUUUAACAGCCUCCAAAUACGUUCAUUUCGAAACCCCAGAAAAACCCAACGCUGUCAUCGCCUUUUUCAACCGCCAUGGCUUUACCAAACCCCAAUUAGCUCGCCUCGUUAUGAGACGCCCAAUGGUGUUAACCACCGAUGUUGAAAAAACCCUUUUGCCUAAACUCGAAUUUUUCCGAUCAAAAGGUAUUUCAAACCCUGACCUUGCUCAAAUCUUAUCUAGCAACCCAACUAUUUUAUCAUCAAGCUUAGAAAAUCAAUUACUCCCAUCAUUUGAUUUGCUUUGUAAUGUGCUUAAAUCCAAUAAGAAGAUUAUCAGUGCUUUGAAACGUCCUCCACGCCUUUUGAAUUACAAUCCUAAUGAUGUUUUGUUGGUUAAUAUCAAUAUUUUGGUUGAUAAUGGAGUUAAUGAAUGUCAUAUCGCUUCAACAGUUUGUUCAAAGCCAUCAACAUUGACUGUAAGUCCAAUUAAGUUUAAAUCCGUGGUGCAAGAAGCAAAAGAAAUGGGGUUUGAUCCUUGUAAAGGAAUGUUUAUGGUAGCAAUCUAUGCGUUGGGCUCGAUGGCCAAACCGACAUUGAAGAGAAAAUUCGAAGCUUUUAAGAAAUUCACUUGGUCCGAUGAAGAGAUUUCUGAAGCUUUCCGGAGGUACCCGUCAUUCAUUAGGUUGUCCGUGGAUAAUUUGAUGGUGACUAUGGAUUUCCUAGUGAAUAAAAUGGGGUGUUCGCCUAGUUUUAUUGCUAAACGACCCCGGUUAUUGCUAAUGAGCAUGGAGAAAAAGAUUGUUCCAAGGUUUCUGUUUGCUUGGGAUUUGUUGUCUAAAGGUGUUAUCAAGAACAUUAACUUGCAUGCCUUGUUGGAGACGUCAGAACAUUUGUUUAUCGAGAAGUUUGUUAACUGUUAUAAACCAGAAGAAGCAUCCCGGAUGUUGAAGCUAUAUCAUGAAAAGUUGGAUCUUUCGAAAAACUUGAGAAUGGAUGGUUACAAGCUGCAGCAUUUAUAGGAUAUUGGCAUUCAAAAGGAUGCUAUAAAACCUACAUGCUCAGUGUUGUGGUCCAUUUUGGGGGCAGUUUUUAGCAAUUCAAAAGGUCUGUGAACUACUUUGUUCCGUAUAUGUGUCUCAAGAAGGCAUUUGGUCUACAAGAGGUCUACGAUUUCAACCAGCUAGGGUCGCCAUGAUGUUUCCGCGGCUGCUUCUGCAAGUGUUCUUAAUUGUUGUGAUUAACUAUUGUUGUUUUUGCUGCUUUCGAUGUUUUAACCUCCGGAACCCCUUUUGGGGUCCAGCAACAACCCUGCGGCAGCUGUGAGACGUGCACUUUGAGCUAAAAGAUGUCAUGAACCAAAAACAUUACUUUUUGUGCAAGUCUUAAAAAAUAGGAGGGGCUUCAUUUCUUUGUCA